UCGAGCGGACAGAAGGGAGCUUGCUCCCGGACGUUAGCGGCGGACGGGUGAGUAACACGUAGGUAACCUGCCCCUUAGACUGGGAUAACUCCGGGAAACCGGAGCUAAUACGGGAUAAUAAAGAGAAUCACCUGAUUCUCUUUUGAAAGACGGCGUCUAGCUGUCACUAAGGGAUGGGCCUGCGGCGCAUUAGCUAGUUGGUAAGGUAACGGCUUACCAAGGCGACGAUGCGUAGCCGACCUGAGAGGGUGAUCGGCCACACUGGGACUGAGACACGGCCCAGACUCCUACGGGAGGCAGCAGUAGGGAAUCUUCCGCAAUGGACGAAAGUCUGACGGAGCAACGCCGCGUGAGUGAGGAAGGCCUUCGGGUCGUAAAGCUCUGUUGUGAGGGAAGAACAAGUACCGGGGUAACUACCGGUACCUUGACGGUACCUCACCAGAAAGCCACGGCUAACUCCCGUGCCAGCAGCCGCGGUAAUACGUAGGUGGCAAGCGUUGUCCGGAAUUAUUGGGCGUAAAGCGCGCGCAGGCGGCUUCUUAAGUCUGAUGUGAAAUCUCGGGGCUCAACCCCGAGCGGCCAUUGGAAACUGGGAAGCUUGAGUGCAGAAGAGGAGAGUGGAAAUUCCACGUGUAGCGGUGAAAUGCGUAGAUAUGUGGAGGAACACCAGUGGCGAAAGGCGACUCUCUGGUCUGUAACUGACGCUGAGGCGCGAAAGCGUGGGGAGCAA
rnacentral:rRNA from 1 species